AACAGCUCAAAUUUGAAAUCUGGCCUCGGCCCGAGUUGUAAUUUGUAGAGGAUGCUUUUGGUGAGGUGCCUUCUGAAGUUCCCUGGAACGGGACGCCAGAGAGGGUGAGAGCCCCGUAUAGUUGGACACCGAGCCUCUGUAAAGCUCCUUCGACGAGUCGAGUAGUUUGGGAAUGCUGCUCAAAAUGGGAGGUAUAUCUCUUCUAAAGCUAAAUACUGGCCAGAGACCGAUAGCGCACAAGUAGAGUGAUCGAAAGAUGAAAAGCACUUUGAAAAGAGGGUUAAAUAGUACGUGAAAUUGUUGAAAGGGAAGCGCUUGUGACCAGACUUGUGCCGGGCUGAUCAUCCAGUGUUCUCACUGGUGCACUCUGCCCGGCUCAGGCCAGCGUCGGUUCUCGCAGGGGGACAAAAGCUUCGGGAACGUAGCUCUCUUCGGGGAGUGUUAUAGCCCGCUGCUCAAUACCCUUGUGGGGACCGAGGUUCGCGCUCUGCAAGGACGCUGGCAUAAUGGUCAUCAGCGGCCCGUCUUGAAACACGGACCAAGGAGUCGAGGUUUUGCGCGAGUGUUUGGGUGUCAAACCCGCACGCGUAAUGAAAGUGAACGUAGGUGAGAGCUUCGGCGCAUCAUCGACCGAUCCUGAUGUAUUCGGAUGGAUUUGAGUAAGAGCGUAUAGCCUCGGACCCGAAAGAUGGUGAACUAUGCCUGAAUAGGGUGAAGCCAGAGGAAACUCUGGUGGAGGCUCGCAGCGGUUCUGACGUGCAAAUCGAUCGUCAAAUUUGGGCAUGGGGGCGAAAGACUAAUCGAACCAUCUAGUAGCUGGUUACCGCCGAAGUUUCCCUCAGGAUAGCAGUGUUGUUCUUCAGUUUUAUGAGGUAAAGCGAAUGAUUAGGGACUCGGGGGCGCUAUUUAGCCUUCAUCCAUUCUCAAACUUUAAAUAUGUAAGAAGCCCUUGUUACUUAAUUGAACGUGGGCAUUCGAAUGUACCAACACUAGUGGGCCAUUUUUGGUAAGCAGAACUGGCGAUGCGGGAUGAACCGAACGCGGGGUUAAGGUGCCAGAGUGGACGCUCAUCAGACACCACAAAAGGCGUUAGUACAUCUUGACAGCAGGACGGUGGCCAUGGAAGUCGGAAUCCGCUAAGGACUGUGUAACAACUCACCUGCCGAAUGUACUAGCCCUGAAAAUGGAUGGCGCUCAAGCGUCCCACCCAUACCCCGCCCUUA
rnacentral:rRNA from 1 species